rnacentral:rRNA from 1 species
UACGUAGGGUCCGAGCGUUGUCCGGAAUUACUGGGCGUAAAGAGCUCGUAGGUGGUUUGUCGCGUUGUCCGUGAAAACUCACAGCUCAACUGUGGGCGUGCGGGCGAUACGGGCAGACUGGAGUACUGCAGGGGAGACUGGAAUUCCUGGUGUAGCGGUGGAAUGCGCAGAUAUCAGGAGGAACAACGGUGGCGAAGGCGGGUCUCUGGGCAGUAACUGACGCUGAGGAGCGAAAGCGUGGGGAGCGAACAGG